rnacentral:misc_RNA from 1 species
UGCACGAGGGUGGAGUCUAAUAUUUUAGGCUAUUUAGCUCCAAUGGUUGUUAAAAAAUAAGUUUGAAGGCUUUGUUAUCUAACGAAGUGAAAUAAUAUCUCGAUAAAGAAUGUUUUUAAAAAAUGCUGAAAGAGAAAUCUGAAUCAUUUGACGGACAUUUAAAAGUCUUGAUGUUUUUUAAACUUUGUCUUUUUGAAUAGGGUUUAUUUUUGUUUCCUUUGUAUGUUAUCAUAUGGGGGGAAUGAAUAGAAUCUGAACGGUCAAUGUAGUAUGAAAUAUUCGUAUUUGAUAUGAAAUUGAUUUUUCUAAAAAGAAAAGUUA